rnacentral:rRNA from 1 species
UACAGAGGGUGCGAGCGUUAAUCGGAAUUACUGGGCGUAAAGCGCGUGUAGGCGGCUAUGCAAGUCGGGCGUGAAAUCCCACGGCUCAACCGUGGAAGUGCACCCGAAACUGCGUAGCUAGAGUCCUGGAGAGGAAGGUGGAAUGCUUGGUGUAGAGGUGAAAUUCGUAGAUAUCAAGCGGAACACCGGUGGCGAAGGCGGCCUUCUGGACAGUGACUGACGCUGAGACGCGAAAGCUAGGGGAGCAAACAGG